rnacentral:rRNA from 1 species
UACGGAGGGUGCAAGCGUUAUCCGGAUUUACUGGGUUUAAAGGGCGCGUAGGCGGGUAGGUAAGUCAGUGGUGAAAUCUUCGAGCUCAACUCGGAAAUUGCCGUUGAUACUAUUUAUCUUGAAUAUCGUUGAGGUUUGCGGAAUAUGUCAUGUAGCGGUGAAAUGCUUAGAGAUGACAUAGAACACCUAUUGCGAAGGCAGCAGGCUAAACGAACAUUGACGCUGAGGCACGAAAGCGUGGGGAUCAAACAGG